UUAUUUUUGAGUUUAUAAAAAUUUAAUCUUUCAAGUAAGGUGAACGAUUUUGCUGUGUUUAAUUUAUACAAAAUGUCUCUUUAAAGUUUCAUUAACUCAAAAUCUUUCAGCCCAGUGAUUUUGCGUGUGACGUCAUCCAGGUUCACGUACGUUCUCGUGCUUCAUUCGUUUUUUUCAAGAUGGCGGAUCGGCCUCGCUUCACACUACAGUAAGUAAACUAUUUACAAAUCCAAGAAAUAUUAAAUUUAUGUUUUAAUCAAUAUAAUCACAGUAACAGUUCAAUGUAAUGUAGAGUUUGUCAGAAUGCGUUUACAUGUCGUGCAUUACAGAAAACGUGUUUAGCCCCACUUGUUGCUAACUAACGUUAACAUUACUGUUUUAAAAAAAUUGAAUCAGUGCAACGUUAGCGUUAGUUGAAAUGUGUUAACUAUGAAUUUUAACAGUGUUAUAAGGACAAAAACAUUUGAAAUCGGCAGAUUCAAUUUUUAACAUAUUUUUAAAUCUUGGCGCGAGCAUGCAUUUAGGUUGUCAUGGUGACGCGCGCUCACACAACCGCACGUCAUGGCACUGCGCUGAACUCUGUCCAGACUGUGAAUGUGGUAUUAUCUUCGCGAUCUGUAGGCACUACGGAAACGAAAGGCGCAUAAUCAUAACUCAAAUAAUCUCCGCCUAAAUACAGAACGGUAUUUUCUGAUGACGGGCAAAAACUUAGCCUCAAAACGUAGCUGUCUGUCACACACAGCUUGUUGCAUGCUGAUCCAUACACGAGAGCCUAACGGAGAACAUUUAAGCUGUGCUCCUCACCUGAGCAGAAUUGAAGGUCGGUUGUUGCUGACUACAGAAAGAUUCUUAUAUGGAGGCAUGUAAAAGCAAGGAAAGUGAAACUUCAGCUAGACCUUGAGUUCAGUUUACAAUAUGAAGAUCCUGAUAUCAACAUCUGAUCUUAUCAACACCUGAUUUUCAUCUGAGCUGCAGAGUACCAACAUGUUACAAAUGAGAAUUUUCCCCACAAAUUCUUUGGACAACCGCACCACCACCUAUUUCAUUUGAUGACAAUUUUAAGGCAAACAGCAUCCAAAACUGACAAGACAGCAGAUACCCUGGCUAAUCUUUUGAAGGUUUAUGAUGAGCAGGAACUGCAUGAUGUCAGUUCAUGAUGGACCACUGUUAUCAGAGGUCUUUUGGUCUUGCUGCGUGAGCGUGACUGGGGAUUCUUUAGGACCACCCUGAUUAAUAAUCCUGAAGCGCUGACUGAAGAUGCUUUAUUGGCCCUGCAGUCACUGAGGGUCUCUGCUGUCCUGAAGAAUGAAUUGGACACCACCCACAGCACACUUCCAGACCUUUUUUGUCUUGUUUGGAUUUUAAUGUAUGCUCUUCACAUAGUAUAUAGUAAAGGACUUUGAACUUGUACAAAAAGAUUUGCUUGGCAUGGAUGAUAGAAAAUAGAAAGUCGAUUAGCAUAGAAUCCUUAAAGAAUGAGUUGAUGUAGAGCCUUUUUUUGUACUCAAUAAAGACUGUCACUGGGGUAGUAACUU